ACUGCACCUUUGAAGCACAGUUUGGGGAGGAGGUGAGCAGCCAACAGUGGCAAAAGAACAAGUUAGGAACUAUUUAGAAAUGCUGGACAUGUGCAAGUCCAUAGGGUUGGAUAGGAUGCACCCAAGAGUGCUGAGGGAACUGGCUACUGCAAUU